rnacentral:rRNA from 1 species
GAGGAAUAUUGGUCAAUGGGCGCGAGCCUGAACCAGCCAAGUCGCGUGAAGGAAGACUGUCCUAUGGAUUGUAAACUUCUUUUGUACAGGAAUAAAGUGUUCUACGUGUAGGAUUUUGCAUGUACUGUACGAAUAAGGAUCGGCUAACUCCGUGCCAGCAGCCGCGGUAAUACGGAGGAUCCGAGCGUUAUCCGGAUUUAUUGGGUUUAAAGGGUGCGUAGGUGGACUGAUAAGUCAGUGGUGAAAGUUUGCAGCUUAACUGUAAAAUUGCCGUUGAAACUGUUGGUCUUGAGUGCAAAUGAGGUAGGCGGAAUGUGUUGUGUAGCGGUGAAAUGCUUAGAUAUAACACAGAACACCGAUUGCGAAGGCAGCUUACUGGGAUGCAACUGACACUGAUGCACGAAGGCGUGGGGAUCAAAC